CAGCUGCACCAAAAAAAACCAUCCCCUAACAAAUUCUUCAAAAACUUUUCCAGCACUCUCCUAUUUUCUUGGCGACGAUCUCUCUCUCUCUCUCUCUCCUCAUUUUCUUCUUCCACAAGAAACAUCAGUGAUGAACUCUUUGAUCAUGGGAUCGUUGGCGGCAAAGCACGGUCGUCGUCUCUUCUCAACGGCGGCGAUAUCUGCGUUGAAGCCAACUCCGUCUGGUCGGGUCACCGCGGUGGGCGUUCGCUUCGUCGGUACGAUCCUCUCCCUGGCUGAAGGUGGUGAUGGACCGAGAAGAAGGCUGUGACCGGAUCCGCCGGUGAGGGAAGGAGGAGAAGGCGGUCGCGAGCUACUGGGGCGUUGAGCCGCCCAAGACCGUGAAGGAGGACGGCAGCGAAUGGAAGUGGACUUGCUUUAAGCCAUGGGACACGUACUCGUCGGACUUGAAGAUCGAUCUGAAGAAGCAUCACGUGCCGGUCACGUGGGGAGACAAGCUGGCGAGGUGGACGGUGAAGUCGCUCCGUUGGCCAACCGACAUCUUCUUCCAGCCAACGAAUUAUCUGGACCGUCCACAGAACUGGGCGAUCUGGAUCUGCGGUUGCUAAUAUUCAGUCAUGCUUUUAUCACGUGACCGAGAUGUAUCGUGGAUGGGUUGAUGAUGUCUGCAACUACUUAUUUUUUUGUCAAAUUUGCUCUCCUUUUCUUGAAGAUCAAGAGGUGAGAGCCUAAUAGAAACGCUGAACGUUUGGAUUUACAGUUGAUAUAUUAGUUGAGCAAUAUUUCUACGAA